rnacentral:rRNA from 1 species
AGAUUGAACGCUGGCGGCAUGCCUAACACAUGCAAGUCGAACGGGAGUAGCAAUACUCUAGUGGCGGACGGGUGAGGAAUACGUAGGAAUUUGCCCUUAAGUGGGGGAUAACCCGGGGAAACCCGGAUUAAUACCGCAUGACCUCGAAAGAGCAAAGUGGGGGAUCGCAAGACCUCACGCUUUUGGAGAAGCCUACGUCGGAUUAGCUAGUUGGUGAGGUAAUGGCUCACCAAGGCGACGAUCCGUAACUGGUCUGAGAGGAUGAUCAGUCACACCGGAACUGAGACACGGCCCAGACUCCUACGGGAGGCAGCAGUGGGGAAUAUUGGACAAUGGGCGCAAGCCUGAUCCAGCCAUGCCGCGUGAGUGACGAAGUCUUCGGAUUGUAAACUCUUUGGCGGGACGAGUAAUGACGGUA